GGGCGGGGCUCCUGCCCGCCGGCCUGGGACCGUGUAGGAGCGGCGGAGGCCCGGGGCCGGGAAGCCUGGGCGCGCGGGGUGGGCGCGGAGGGGCGGAAGGGGAGGCCGGAUGAGAUGAGGGUAGAACCCGGGAGGGCGCUGCCUGUGAGUGGCGCCAGGAUGGAUGUGCCCAGCGCAGCCUCCGCACGCUCUCCUGGGAACAAUGAGACCCAACAAAGGAUUCUUGGCUCUCCCACGUGGUGAACCGCGUCCGUCGCUCGUCGCUCGCUCUGCAAAAAGGCGCCAGGCACACUGUCGCCAGGGGAAACCCCAUCAGGCUCCUGACCCUACUUCCUUGGGCUCAGACAUCCCCAUCAAGCCUGGAAACGGCGCAGGCCCAGAAACCUAGUCCAGAAGUUACCCCCAGGAAACCCACGGCCCCCCAGGCACUCUCUUUCAUAGGAAGCUUAGGGUCCAGCCCCAGAGAGAAUGAUCACAAUGGACUUCUGUUCAAGAAGAAGGCAAGACAGGAAGUGACUAAGUGUGAGGUGUGAGUAACCGACAGACACAGCGAGAGGUCAUAUGAUGAAGCCAGCAGGAGUUUGACAACUCGGGACUGUUCUUCCCGGAAGCUAGCUGUGCCAAGGACAGACAGAACAAGACAACCUGACCAGCAGCACACUGGGUCCUGGUGCCGCUUGGAGCCAUGCUGCUUCCGUUCCUUUUUCCUCCACCUCCCUUGACCUCUCUGGCUCUGUCUCCACGGUGGAGGAACUGGGGCAACCAGAGGGGCCACGGGAGCAGAGGGAAGGGGCAGAGGAACGAGGGGGGCCAUGGAAGGGGCAGGUGCUUAUCAGCUGGGGAAGCUGUGGCCCCCAGAGGAUCCUCCUUGGCAGGCGGUGGGUGUGAGUAGGAGGCCCAGAGCCGCUCGGCAAACGGCAAAAAGGCUUCUGGCUCCCGUCCCUCUCAUGUGCCACGUUAACUUCCUGCCCACCAGGAGGAGGGAACAGCAAGAUGCCGUGUGAGGAAGAAAUAAACCCAGUCCAGCAUCUCAGACGCUUUUAAAAAUAGCAACUCUGGGAGGGUAGUUCAGCUCCUAUUUUUAUCAGACUUAUAUGGCCGGACCAUAGAGCUGAGCUGUUCCCAGGGUUCUCAAUAGCAGGCAGGGGACAUCACUGUUGUUGUGUUAGAAACCUGCCGGUAGGCCAGGAUAUUCCAGGAACCUUUAGGCUGGACGAGAUCCCAAGAAGUCCUUGCGUGCAGCCCUCGCCUCUGCUUGGGGCCAGUCAAUUAACCACAGGUAGUUUAUCUUUUUUGCCCGAAAGUCACUUGGUUGCUGUGCCCUCCACUGCGUUAAUCUAGGAUUUCACAACCCUUCUCAUCAGGAAGUUCUUUUAAAUAUCUAGCCCAAGUAUCUCUGGUUACAUCCUUUUCGGUCCUUCUCACAGUAGAAAAAUCUAGCCCACGUUUACCCUGUGGCGACUACGUCUACAAAAGGCUCUUCUUUAAUCCCCACAAAACCCCUCACAGGGAGCACUCUUACCAUUGAUAAAUUGGGAGCAGUUAUGGAAUUGCCUAUUGCCUGCGAUCAUACCAUACCUGGGGAAAGGUGCAGAUGCUGUGCCGAAGCCAUCAGACCAUUUGCCUCCCAGACAUGCGCCCUUAGCUCGGACUUUGACUUCAUCACAGUCCCAAAGGACGAAGUGGCCCUUGUUCUCGUUGUGGACUUGUACGUCGUGCUAGAAGCUUGGCUUAGAUCCCAGCGUGCUGAACCACAGUCCGCCUUGACCACCCAGCCUCUGCUUGUGCAGGCCAUUUGGCUAGCAAAUGUAGCCUGGAAAUUUGCCUUCUCUUUCCAUAAGGACUCCCAGCCCCCUCUGCCUUUUUUGGAAGGCAUUCACUGCUUUUGUCAUUACUUUGUAAUGACUACCUGGGUUCCUCACUAAAUCGUAAGCUCCAUGUGAGCUCUAUCUCCAGAUUCUAACUUAAAAAAAAAAAAAAAAUUCGGGGGGCACCUGGGUGGCUCAGUGGGUUAGGUCUCUGCCUUCAGCUCAGGUCAUGAUCUCAGGGUCCUGGGAUGGAGCCCCACACCUGGCUCCCUGCUCAGCAGGAAGUCUGCUCCCCCCCGCCCCCGCCUGCCUCUCUGCCUACUUGUGACCUCUCUCUGUGUCAAAUAAAUUUUAAAAAUUCUAAAAAAAAUAUUCAGGAAGAUGUACAAAACAUGUGUAUUGAAUUGAAACACUUUAAAUCAAUUCAGUCCCUGCUUAUUUUUUAAGUGGUUAAAACAUGGUAACUUCAAGUUUGUGUAGAUUUCAGAAUCCAGUAUCAUUCCACUAAUAAUAGCGCUAGAACAAACACAGGGUUGCCAACAUUUAUUUAUUUUGCUGGGUGAGGAUAUUUUAAAAACAACCACCACCAAUGACAACCAUCUUCUUUAAAAAAGGACAUUUUAAGAUCAUAUAUACAUGCUUGGAAUGAAGAUUUUGGUCCUUUCUGAGAAGGAAGAGUUGGCCAAUCUACAUCAGUCUAUUCAGAAAGAAAAGAGACGAAAAACGAAAAACGUUUUGGAUAUGGAAGCCUUACAAGAGAAACAACUUCAAAUGUUACUUUGUAU